rnacentral:rRNA from 1 species
CCUACGGGUGGCAGCAGUAGGGAAUCUUUCACAAUGGGCGAAAGCCUGAUGGAGCAACGCCGCGUGCAGGAUGAAGGCCUUCGGGUUGUAAACUGCUUUUAUAAGCGAGAAAUAUGAUGGUAACUUAUGAAUAAGGAUCGGCUAAAUACGUGCCAGCAGCCGCGGUCAUACGUAGGAGCCGAGCCUUUUCCGGAGUGACUGGGUGUAAAGAGUUGCGUAGGUGGUAUAAUAAGUGGCUAGGGAAAUCUGGUGGCUCAACCAUUCAGACUGUUAGCUAAACUGUUAAGCACGAGACCGUUAGGGGUAACUGGAAUUUCUAGUGUAGGAGUGAAAUCCGUAGAUAUUAGAAGGAACACCAAUAGCGAAGGCAGGUUACUGGGACGGUACUGACACUGAGGCACGAAAGCGUAGGGAGCAAACGGGAUUAGAUACCCUAGUAGUC